AGCAGCCGCGGUAAUUCCAGCUCCAAUAGCGUAUAUUAAAGUUGUUGCAGUUAAAAAGCUCGUAGUUGAAUUUCGGGGUUAGUAGGUUGGUCAUGCCUCUGGUAUGUACUGGUCUCACUGAUUCCUCCUUCCUGAUGAGCCGUAAUGCCAUUAAUUUGGUGUUGCGGGGAAUUUGGACUGUUACUUUGAAAAAUUAGAGUGUUUAAAGCAGGCUCGCGCUUGAAUACAUUAGCAUGGAAUAAUGAAAUAGGACGUUUGAUCCUAUUUUGUUGGUUUCUAGGAUCGACGUAAUGAUUAAUAGGGAUAGUUGGGGGCAUUAGUAUUCAAUUGUCAGAGGUGAAAUUCUUGGAUUUAUUGAAGACUAACUACUGCGAAAGCAUUUGCCAAGGAUGUUUUCAUUAAUCAAAGAACGAAAGUUAGGGGAUCGAAGACGAUCAGAUACCGUCGUAGUACUUAACCAAUAAACUAUGCCGACUAGGGAUCGGAUGAUGUUAAUUUUUAAUGACUCA
rnacentral:rRNA from 1 species